rnacentral:lncRNA from 1 species
ACUCGAGUUUUCAUCUCACUGAAAAUUCAAAAUCAAAAUCAAAACCAGCUGAGAUAGUUACUCGGGUGCCUUCCUUCAGCUUAUUCAAAAGAACACAGAAUGAACGGCUUUAAGACAUGUCAUGGAAAAUGUUAAGAGAAGACGGUCUCUUCUUCUGUGUUGGUGCCUGUUAAUUUCACACCUUGAAGAGAGUCCUCAUAUCAACAAUGAAGCGUCUAUUUUUAAGACACUGAAUUAAAGAUUAUUUAUGAAGAGGUAACAACAACAAAAAAGUCAAAACGGAGUGUCACUCUGGCAUCGACAUGGUGUUCCUGAUUGCUCUUGACUAGGAUUUUUAAAGGCUUAAUGGUAAAUAUAUGCUUGUUUGUAGUUUAAUGAAAUCACCGUAGGUUCGUUUCUGAUUUUGAAGUAUAAAUGUUUGUGAACCUUUUCUUAUAUUUUUAAAAAUAGUGCAUUUACAUGCUAUUCUCAUAUCUCCCUUGUUACAAAGAUAGUAUCACCGACACAGUGCACUGUACAUGACAGAGAAGAAAGACAAUGACUAGGUGCUGUCUCCGUGCCACGUAGUUUAGUGAUGUUUACUUCUCCUUGCAAUGUUCUGCCAUUACUCUCCCCUUCUCAGUGGUUCCUGCACAACCUUUAUAAGAAUGCGGCAGCACUGCUCCAAGAAAGUACUCGGGGGGCAAGAACGGAUGGAGACAGCAACCCCAGAGGAGUGGGACAUGGACAAUGGCGAGGUAGCAGAGUGCAGCUCUGUCCAGAGAAAGCUGUGUCCACCCACCACCUGCACAGGGGAUGCCAUGUUGCUGGACACAGAGACCCAUGGAACCCGCCAGAGCAGCAAAAUGACAAAGAGCCCUCCUGUCCUGCUGAGCGGUGACCAGUUACCCAGGAAGAGCCUUCCUCCCAGAGCUGCUGGGCUUGGAAGGGGCGACUCUCAAAUCACGCUCCUCCCCCUGCCCUGCCCCACCUGCGUCUCAGAGGGCCACGCUGUUGCCCCAUCCCACCGCCCUUGA